GCCGGGGUGGCGGAAUUGGCAUACGCGCCGGUCUCAAAAACCGGUCCUGCUCGUCGGGAUGCGGGUUCGACUCCCGCCCUCGGCA
rnacentral:tRNA from 2 species